UACAGAGGGUGCGAGCGUUGUCCGGAAUCACUGGGCGUAAAGGGCGCGUAGGCGGCUCGGUCAGCGUGCGGUGAAAGCCCGGGGCUCAACCCCGGGUCGGCCGUGCGAACUGCUGGGCUAGAGCACUGUAGAGGCAGGUGGAAUUCCGGGUGUAGCGGUGGAAUGCGUAGAGAUCCGGAAGAACACCGGUGGCGAAGGCGGCCUUCUGGACAGUGACUGACGCUGAGACGGCGAAAAGCGUGGGGAGCAAACAGG
rnacentral:rRNA from 1 species